rnacentral:rRNA from 1 species
GUCCGCCAAAUAACUACGAGUACAAACUUAAAAUUUAAAGGACUUGACGGUAUUUCACACUCAACCUAGAGGAGCCUGUCUACUAACCGAUAACCCACGAUUAACCCAACCGCUUCUAGCCCCCAGCCUAUAUACCACCGUCGCCAGCCUACCUUAUAAAAGAAACAAAGUGAGCUAAACAGUAAUACACUAAAACGACAGGUCAAGGUGUAGCUAAUGAAUCGGAUUAGGAUGGGCUACAUUUUCUAACCCAGACUAUACGAACCAGGCCAUGAAACAAGCCUUCGAAGGCGGAUUUAGUAGUAAGCCGAGAACAUAAUACUCAACUGAAACCAAUGCAAUGAAAUGCGUACACACCGCCCGUCAUCCCUGUUUACAUACCUAACCAAAAACAUAUAAAAUCCAAACCUAAUCUGAAACAGGGCAAGUCGUAACAUGGUAAGCGUACUGGAAAGUGCGCUUAGAAA